rnacentral:lncRNA from 1 species
UACCGGUCUAAAAGUUUGAUCUCGAGAGUUUUGGACAAGUCCUGAGAGUUUUUACUCUCGGGGACCGGUCCCUGGAAGGAGAGACCGGUUCCCCCAGUGAUCAGUGUUGAGGCAGCCUGAGGCAACCGGUCCCUGGCAGGCGAGACCGGUUCCCGAGCGCGUCUUCGCAGUGAGAGACCGGUCCCGCGCAGGGAGAGACCGGUUCCCGAACACUGGGUUUUCGG